UACUUGAGGGUGAAGGGGCGGCCGCCGAGGAGGGUGCGGGAGAGGCGGGCGGCGAGAUCGGGGAGGGAGGAGUGGCGUUCGAUGGAUACCAUGCGAGUUUCGCCGCCGAGGUAGCACAGGGACUUAUCGGUGGGGCGAGGGACGAUCCGGCCGCCGUAGCUGCACAUAACGCGGAGCUUGGAGGGGGAGGGAAAGGGCUCGUCCCAGGAUUCGCCACCACGGGAGCGAGGGGAGGAGUCGACAGAGUCCGGAUAGGCGCCACCGCCGCCGGAAUCCAUGAUCACCGGCGAUUGGGGAGAGG
rnacentral:misc_RNA from 1 species